UAGAUAGAGUACGGAGACGCUUAC
rnacentral:siRNA from 1 species